rnacentral:miRNA from 1 species
UUAAGUAGUGACGCCAUUGUAA